rnacentral:rRNA from 1 species
GAUGAACGCUGGCGGCGUGCCUAACACAUGCAAGUCGAGCGGCAGCGAGGGGUGCUUGCACCCUGUCGGCGAGCGGCGGACGGCUGAGUAACGCGUGGGAACGUGCCCCAAAGUGAGGAAUAACUGCCCGAAAGGGUAGCUAAUACCGCAUAUUAUCUUCGGAUCUAAGGAUUUAUCCGCUUUGGGAGCGGCUCGCGUCGGAUUAGGUAGUUGGUGAGGUAAUGGCUCACCAAGCCGACGAUCCGUAGCUGGUCUGAGAGGAUGACCAGCCAGACUGGAACUGAGACACGGUCCAGACUCCUACGGGAGGCAGCAGUGAGGAAUCUUCCACAAUGGGCGAAAGCCUGAUGGAGCAACGCCGCGUGCAGGACGAAGGCCUUCGGGUUGUAAACUGCUUUUAUAAGUGAGGAAUAUGACGGUAACUUAUGAAUAAGGAUCGGCUAACUACGUG